GGGAAGGAUUUUGCGUUAGGAGGACAGUUGAAUGUUGGGUCGUAGAUGAGCACAGACAAUACUGUUAAAAAACGAGAGAGAGAGAGACAUAAGGACAAAGGGAAAGCCGGGACAGCAGUAUGUAUGCGUCCCAGUAUUUUUUAUUUUUCAUUUUUUGUAACAUCUUCGGGGUCCCUGAGGGUAGUGGUAUGCACCAACGUAUACAGAGAAAAGGAUCUGCUCCGCGGCAGCUGCAGCAUCCUUUCUGAUAAUUGAAAUAAGACAUAAAGAAGAAACUGCCACGACUAGCAUGGAGGCUGCAGGGUUACUGCCUGAAGAUUGUGCUGGAUCAUGACAGCAGCAUUAGGUGCAAAGCAGGAACGAGCCAUGGAUGUCACCCCAUUCUAUCACAGCCCUACUAACGCACAUACUUACGGGCAGAAUGUUAAUAUGGAGUCACAAAUUAAUAUAACAUUCAUAAUAUUCAGAUAUGGGUGGACAAUAGGCCUCCAUAAUUCUGUUCUCUUGUGUUUCAGGUCCAAAUUGGUCUCUAAUACUACAAGUCAGGGACUUCAAAGAGUUUACGAUUAUAAAUCAAGCCCCUCUCAGUCUGCUGCUUUUAUAUUAAGUCCAGAUUACUCUAGAAUUGCUAAGUAUUAUAGUUGCAUUACUUUCUGUUUCAGUGUCACAUUUGCUAUUGUCACUACACUUUGGGACCCUUCAGAUCUGGUCUCUUGCAAGGUGGCAUCCACCUGUUGUUGUCUAUAGUCUUAAGUGCCAGGUUCAUGCAGAGCUCUCACAUUGAUUGUCAGACAUCUACAGGCCUCUGCAUUAUACUGUUACAUGUCUGGCCCAAAUGAGGCUUCUCGUUGUGCAUCAGGUUCACAAAGUCUAGUGCUCUUUCUUGUGUUUUAGGCACUUUCAGCUCUGUCCGGUUACUCACCAGUUUCCCAUUGAUGUUUCUCAUGAUAUGCCAAAUCAACAUCAUCCUGUCUUUAUAUGAUAACCCCAUAACCAAGUGAUGUGGUGUUUGUCCAUCCUGGCCUCUGUCAUUACUUACUAGCUACCAAUAAUCCUGCCACAUACCAGGUUCACAGUGGGUUUUCCCAUAUUGUGAAUACUGCACAGAUUCUUGUUUCUUUGCUUCAGGCCCCACAGCCAUUCCCUAUUAUGCUUCAGGUGUCUACAUCCUAUGUUUUUGUGACGAUAAAAAACAAAAGCAAUAAAAGUAACGCACCCAUCCAAUAGGAGCCCCAUUUUGUAAC